AGGCCUCUCCUAGCCCCCCAGGACCUCUUUCCCAAACUCCUCCUAUGCAGAGGCCUGUGGAGCCUCAGGAAGGACCACACAAGAGCCUGGUGGCACACCGGGUCCCACUGAAGCCAUAUGCAGCACCUGUACCCCGAUCCCAGUCCCUGCAGGACCAACCCACUCGAAACUUGGCUGCCUUCCCAGCCUCCCACGACCCUGACCCUGCUGCUGUCCCCACACCCACUGCCACACCCAGUGCCCGAGGAGCUGUCAUCCGCCAGAAUUCAGACCCCACCUCUGAAGGGCCUGGGCCUAGCCCUAACCCUCCAUCCUGGGUCCGGCCUGAUAAUGAAGCUCCACCCAAGGUUCCUCAGAGGACCUCGUCUAUUGCCACUGCCCUUAACACCAGUGGGGCUGGAGGGUCCCGGCCAGCUCAGGCUGUCCGUGCCAGACCUCGCAGCAACUCCGCCUGGCAAAUCUAUCUGCAGAGGCGGGCAGAGCGAGGCACCCCCAAGCCUCCUGGGCCCCCAGCUCAGCCCCCUGGCCCGCCCAACACCUCUAGUAACCCUGACCUCAGGAGGAGUGACCCUGGCUGGGAGCGUUCAGACAGUGUCCUCCCUGCCUCCCACGGCCACCUCCCUCAGGCCGGCUCCUUGGAGCGGAACCGAAACCGUGUGGGAGCCUCCACAAAACUGGACAGCUCCCCAGUGCUCUCCCCUGGGAACAA
rnacentral:lncRNA from 1 species